CCAGUUUCUUUCAUUUCGUCAGAUAAAAGAGGAGAAAUAACAUGAGUUAUUCAGAUAAAGUUUUGAAUCAUUACGAAAACCCUCGUAAUGUGGGUACUUUGGAUAAAGAUGACCCUACGGUAGGUACGGGAAUGGUGGGCGCGCCGGCCUGUGGUAAUUGACAUUGCCACGUAAUUCUGCUAUAUGCGGGAAACUCUCGUAAAGGAGUAGCUACCUGUUAUUUCAGUGUAAAAAAGCGACUUAUAGAGACAAUCCGCAGGGAAAACCUUAUGGUCCCCUCAGAGACUAAUAUGCAGAACACUUGGAUUUCCCAAGUGAAGAUAGAGUCCGACCUGCAUGGAGACGUGCAG
rnacentral:ncRNA from 1 species